CCUACGGGGGGCAGCAGUAGGGAAUAUUGCUCAAUGGGGGCAACCCUGACGCAGCAACGCCGCGUGGAGGAUGAAGGUUUUCGGAUUGUAAACUCCUUUUGUCAGAGAAGAUAAUGACGGAAUUUACCGAUUAAUCACCGGCUAACAACGUGCCAGCAGCCGCGGUAAUACGGCGGGUGCAAGCGUUACUCGGAAUCACUGGGGGUAAAGGGCGCGUAGGCGGGAUAGCAAGUCAGAUGUGAAAUCCAAUGGCUUAACCAUAGAACUGCAUUUGAAACUGUUAUUCUAGAGUAUGGGAGAGGUAGGUGGAAUUCUUGGUGUAGGGGUAAAAUGCGUAGAGAUCAAGAGGAAUACUCAUGGCGAAGGCGACCUGCUAGAACAUAACUGACGCUGAUGCGCGAAAGCGUGGGGAGCAAACAGGAUUAGAUACCCUGGUAGUC
rnacentral:rRNA from 1 species